UUUUUAAGAUCUGAGGGGGAAAAACCCACGUGUGGAUUGCCAGAGUUAGUUUUUUUCCCUAGAUCUGGUUUUAUAAAUUCUAGUAAUAAAC
rnacentral:snoRNA from 1 species